GAGAGAGAGAGAGAGAGAGAGAGAGAGAGAGAGAGAGAGACAGAGACAGAGAGAGAGAGAGAGAGAGAGAGAGAGAGAGAGAGAGAGAGAGGGAUAGAGAGAGAGAGAGAGAGAGAGAGAGAGAGAGAGAGAGAGAGAGAGAGAGAGAGAGAGAGGGAGAGAGAGACAGAGAGAGAGGGAUAGAGACAGAGAGAGGGAGAGAGAGACAGAGAGAGAGGGAUAGAGAGAGAGAGAGAGAGAGAGAGAGAGAGAGAGAGGGAGAGAGAGAGAGAGAGAGAGAGAGAGAGAGAGAGAGAGAGAGAGAGAGCUCAUCACCAUUUGACACGCUAGUUCCACUAAACAGUCUUCACUAUGGCACAUUGACAACCUUUUCCCCUUUAGUGGGUUUCAAACGGAGCGGUUUAACUGACUCUGAAUAACUGCCAAGCAGGCAGGGAACAAAGGAAGGAAGAACAUAACAAGGUCUCGUUGUUCUGUACGAACUGGCAUCCCGGCUGUACGAUACAUCCUGGGCCUGUAUGUCUCAAGAGUCUCAGAGAUAAAGAGCACUGAUCUUGAAUCAGUUUUAUACAUUAUAAUGAUUAAGAUUAUACGGGCCAAAGGGAGAACUGAUCGUAGAUCAGCAACACCUACUCCGAGAGGCUUUGUGAAUACGGGCCUUGGUCCCUACUGUAGGAGAGUUCCUGUCCCUAGACAUUAACGUUGAGAGCUGCACUGUUGGUUAAAGGGGAGCUUGUAGGUAAGGUCUACACUGUUGGUUAAAGGGGAGCUUGUAGGUAAGGUCUACACUGUUGGUUAAAGGGGAGCUUGUAGGUAAGGUCUACACUGUUG
ensembl:lncRNA